UGAGGAAUUUUGCGCAAUGGGGGAAACCCUGACGCAGCAACGCCGCGUGGGUGAAGAAGGCCUUCGGGUCGUAAAGCCCUGUCAGGUGGGAAGAAUGUCCCCAGGGUGAACAAUUUUGGGGAGUGACGGUACCACCAGAGGAAGCACCGGCUAACUCCGUGCCAGCAGCCGCGGUAAUACGGAGGGUGCGAGCGUUGUUCGGAAUCAUUGGGCGUAAAGGGCGUGCAGGCGGUUGGGUAAGUCUGAUGUGAAAGCCCGGGGCUCAACCCCGGAAGUGCAUUGGAAACUGUCCGACUUGAGUACCGGAGAGGAUGGGGGAAUUCCCGGUGUAGAGGUGAAAUUCGUAGAGAUCGGGAGGAAUACCAGUGGCGAAGGCGCCCAUCUGGACGGAUACUGACGCUGAGACGCGAAAGCGUGGGGAGCAAACAGG
rnacentral:rRNA from 1 species